GUUAGCUCAGUUGGUUAGAGCAUGGUGCUGAUACCACCAAGGUCACAGGUUUGAUCUCCAUCUGGGGAAGCU